rnacentral:rRNA from 1 species
AGGACGAACGCUGGCGGCGUGCUUAACACAUGCAAGUCGAGCGGUAAGGCUCCUUCGGGAGUACACGAGCGGCGAACGGGUGGGUAACACGUGAGCAAUCUGCCCUUCUCUUCGGAAUAACCAUUGGAAACGAUGGCUAAUGCCGAAUACGACCUCCUUUCGCAUGAUCGGAGGUGGAAAGCUCCGGCGGAGAAGGAUGAGCUCGCGGCCUAUCAGCUAGUUGGCGGGGUAACGGCCCACCAAGGCGACGACGGGUAGCCGGCCUGAGAGGGUGACCGGCCACACUGGGACUGAGACACGGCCCAGACU